rnacentral:lncRNA from 1 species
CCCCUGUCCUACAACUCAUAAAUCCAGCCAAAAUUUGUUAUUAGAGUUUUCAGAGUAUAUUAUAGUUAGCACUAGCUGUGUCAUGUUUAGCAGAGCCAGCUAAAUGGCUCUCCCUUUUCCAAUAUGCCUUUUUGUAAAGCUACCACAGCCUUGGAUCUGAUGUUCCCUGCAUCCAAACUUUGCAGUAGGGCUCCGCAUAGCACUUUCCUUUGUUCUGUUCCUCCUGGUAUUUGUGGGAGCUGCUAGAGUGUAGUACCGCUUCAAUUGGACCUCCAUUUCCUUCCUGUGAAUACCACAAAAUGAGUAGAACAGUGCAACACGAAUUUGAGACGUAACUGAGCUGAACUCCCGUGACACAAAUGCAACAUGGGGGCAAGCAGAUUUCCCUCUAAUUAACACAAAGUAUAUUAUCCUGUUAAUUGAGGAACUCACUGCUGAUUUACAUCACUGUGACAUAAUUAGCCCCCUCCCCCCACAUUUACAUAUUUAUAUUUCUGAAUUGUCUCUCCUUUUAAUUGUCAGGAAGGAGUUUCUCUUCCUCACUGCUCAAAGGAAAGAUAACAAGAACAGAAGCCUCACUUCUGCAUGGAAGAGUGAGAACAGAAAUGAUUCCUGCUUUUCUUUACAAAGACCCUAGACAAAAUCAUGUAGGUGACUGCUGGAGAUCCAGAAAAGGAAGGAAACCCUCAUUAUUCCUUAACACAUUGGAAAGACCGUCUCCUACCCUGCAAGAAUAAAGGUCAGAUAAAAGGGGAAAGCAAGUCUAGGUCCAUUUGAAAGGUCCUAUCCUGGGUGAUUAGGGUUCAGAGACUUUUUUAUUAACUACAACACAAACAUUAGGAAACCUCCACCAACAUUUGCAUAUGAAAAUCAUAGAAAUACUCAUUUCAAUCAUUUUUGCUGUUCUUCGUAAGACCAAGCUGUCCAGAAUGGGAAAUGUUAACACAGCAAGACAUUCAAAACGUUACUGAAAAAUGGAAGGAGAAGCAACAAGGGUUUACCAGAGAUAAAGAAGUAGGUGGGAGUCCAUGGACAAAGUAUUCUGUGCAGAGCUCCAUGCUAAACAGGGAACACUGGGCUUGCAUAACACACGUACUGCGGACUGCUGACACGGAGGCACCCACCAGCACACUAACAAAGAUGCCAACCUGUGACUUUCGGUAUUCUGCCAUAACGAUGAAGUCCUGAGCGUAUAGCGUAGGACAAUAAUGAUAUACAUUGCAAGAUAUUAGGAUCAUAGUUUCCCAGGUAAAAACAUUGUAAGAUGUGAAAGGCAAAAAGUAGGAAGAGUCAUAGGACUUCUGUGCUUUACUGAGUCACAACUGGUAUUCUGAGACUCUAAGCAGCGCUAGCAAAAAAAUGUUUUAUCAUGUUUCCAAUAAUAUGGGCAAACUGGAAAGCUGCCAUCCUUUCCCCAUAGCUAUUCUGCUUUACUUUCCACCCACUUUCACCAUCCAUUUAAUGCAACAGAUUGAACAUAUAUAGAGAACUAUAAAAGUGCCAGCAAUGUCACAAAUAAAAAAAAGCAAUCAUACC